rnacentral:rRNA from 1 species
GUACACGCUGUGACUAGCAUAUCAAUAAGCGGAGGAAAAGAAACUAACAAGGAUUCCCCUAGUAACGGCGAGUGAAGCGGGAAGAGCUCAAAUUUGAAAUCUUAAAGGGUUUCCCUUUACGAAUUGUAGUUUAAAGAAGUGUUUUCUGCUGAGGUUUUGGUAAAAGUUCUUUGGAAUAGGACAUCAUAGAGGGUGAGAAUCCCGUAUUUGACCUUUACUUUCAACUUUGUGAUACACUUUCAAAGAGUCGGAUUGUUUGGGAAUGCAGUCCAAAAUGGGUGGUAAAUUUCAUCUAAAGCUAAAUAUUGGCGAGAGACCGAUAGCGAACAAGUACCGUGAGGGAAAGAUGAAAAGAACUUUGAAAAGAGAGUUAAACAGUACGUGAAAUUGUCAAAAGGGAAGCGUUUGACACCAGUGUUGUUUUUCUGAAAAUCAAUUAAAGAACUGUUUAUGCUAAGUUGUUUAGACUUUAUCAGCUAACUGUUUAGUUUUGAGCUUUUCUUUAAUGCACUUUUCAGUUAACAAGUCAACAUCAAUUUCUUUUGCUGUAAAAAAGCUUGAGGAAGGUGGCUUGAGAUUCGUCUUAAGUGUUUAUAGCCUCUUGCCUAUGCAGUCGGAGAGAUUGAGGUCUGCAGCGUAGAUCCUUCGGGGCUAAAUGCAUUUGUGCUAAGUUAUAACAUUUUAUAGACAACUUGUUGACUAUGAUUUGUCUUGUAGCUUACUCGCUUAUGUUAUUUUACCUACGCUUAGGAUGUUGAAGAUGUAGCACAUCAU